AGCAGCCGCGGUAAUUCCAGCUCCAAUAGCGUAUAUUAAAGUUGUUGCAGUUAAAAAGCUCGUAGUUGAAUUUCGGGAUCAGUAUGUUGGUCGUGCUUCGGUACGUACUGUCAUUACUGGUUUCUACCUUCUGAAGAACCUUGAUGUCAUUAAUUUGGUGUCUUGGGGAAUCAGGACUGUUACUUUGAAAAAAUUAGAGUGUUUAAAGCAAGCAUACGCUUGAAUACAUUAGCAUGGAAUAAUGAAAUAGGACGUUUGAUUCUAUUUUGUUGGUUUCUAGGAUCGACGUAAUGAUUAAUAGGGAUAGUUGGGGGCAUUAGUAUUCAAUUGUCAGAGGUGAAAUUCUUGGAUUAUUGGAAGAUCUAACUACUGCGAAAGCAUUUGCCAAGGAUGUUUCAUUAAUCAAGAACG
rnacentral:misc_RNA from 1 species